AUUGAACGCUGGCGGCAUGCCUUACACAUGCAAGUCGAACGGCAGCAUGGAAGAGCUUGCUCUUCUGAUGGCGAGUGGCGAACGGGUGAGUAAAGCAUCGGAACGUACCGUGUAAUGGGGGAUAACGUAGCGAAAGUUACGCUAAUACCGCAUACGACCUGAGGGUGAAAGCAGGGGAUCGCAAGACCUUGCGUUAUACGAGCGGCCGAUGUCAGAUUAGCUAGUUGGUGAGGUAAAGGCCCACCAAGGCGACGAGCUGUAGCGGGUCUGAGAGGAUGAUCCGCCACACUGGGACUGAGACACGGCCCAGACUCCUACGGGAGGCAGCAGUGGGGAAUUUUGGACAAUGGGGGCAACCCUGAUCCAGCCAUGCCGCGUGAGUGAAGAAGGCCUUCGGGUUGUAAAGCUCUUUCGGCCGGGAAGAAAUCGCACAGGCUAAUACUCUGUGUGGAUGACGGUACCGGCAUAAGAAGCACCGGCUAACUACGUGCCAGCCGCCGCGGUAA
rnacentral:rRNA from 1 species